CCUAAACUGGUUUGGGUGGGUUUGCUGUCACUCGCAAUUGAAAAUAAAACAUUUCUGUCUCAUCGGGUGUCUUCUCUUUGCCUGGCUGUAACCGCUGCCACCCUAACCACUGCUGGCCUGGGAGGAAGAAAACUGGGGGUGACAUCAAGGAAGGGGAUAAACGAGGCUGCAAACCAGCCCCUGGAAUGCAGUCCGGGGACACCAGCAACCACGCCCCAGCCAACGCCUCACUCGCACGGUGACAGGAAGAGAUCAUCAGAGCCAUAACCAUGACAGUUCGGUUUUCUCCAAAGGUGUCAACUUUCCUCAAGUUUCCCAAAGCCCUGGGCAUGAUGCCAGUAGAUCAUUUUUGAUUUCUUUUGCAAGCUCCCAAUUUCAUCCCCGCAGGUGUCUAAGAAAAAGCAUUAUUAAAAUGCUCGCAGUAAAGAGGAGCCCAGGAUAAAGGAUCCCGGCUCUAAAUUUUUCCUCCACAUAAAGGAAGUCAUUUUAAGUCUAAUCAGUUAUGAAUUUAGAAAGUCACAGAUUCUAAUACCAAAAACCUGUGUGUGUGAGAGCACGUUUGAACAUAUGCCUGCACACGUGUCCAUGUGUGUGGUGCAUCUGAAUAGAAAAAAAAAAAGAGACCUUAUUAUUAUCACAAUUUUUCAAUUAAAAAUUUAAAAAUCUUUUAAUUUAAAAAUUUUUUGAAAAAAUGAGACCUUGAACAGCCAGAGUUAUGCUUCAUCUCUUCUCAGACUCGAGGGCACCAGUUAUCACUUUGCUUUCUCCCCUUUUUCAUCAGGAGCUGCUAAGACACAUAAGCCCCUUCCACUGAGAAGAAGGGUGUGUCACUGCGCUUUUGGAGGAACAGAUGAAAAGAAUCUGCUUUUCUUGUCCUCUUUUUUUAAGGAAGGAUCGGCUGACCGACUAGCUCCACCUCUGCUCUACCCCCGGACACACACACACACACACACACACACACACACACUCUCUCUCUCUCUCUCUCACACACUUGGGCUGGAAACAACACACUUCACCCAAAGACUAGGGAGAGGUAUUACAAAAAGACGGGUGAGCCGGGCCAGCGAUACUCUGUCAGUCACCUCUCUUCUAACCAGACCGGGAGCACAUGCAGCAUUCAUGGUUCAGAACGUGUUUUCUGGACUUCCUGUCAUGGCACAGCAGAACCGAAUCAGACUAGGAACCAUGACGUGGCAGGUUCGAUCCCUGGCCUCGACAGCGGGUUAAGGAUCCGGCGUUGCCGUGAGCUGUGGUGUAGGUCACAGACAUGGCUCAGAUCUGGCGAUGCUGUGGCUGUGGUGUAGGUCUGUGGCUACAGCUCCAAUUGACCCCUAGCCUGGGAACGUCCAUGUGCCACGGGUGCAGCCCUAAAAAGACCAAAAAAAAAAAAAAAAAAGAAUGUAGGCAAAGCCCUACGCAUGUCCCUCGGGCGUAUGAUAAACACUCCAUUUCCCUGUUACUGAGAAGACAAGUUCAAGAGCCAGUAAGGGACACCGAUGUGCACUGACAGGUGGAAUCUACCGCCGAGAUUUCUCAGGCCGGCGCAAGGCAUUCCACGCCAUACGGCUGUGGUCACUCCAGGGCAAAACCUUUGCCUGGUGCUUUGGCUCCGCGGGGGGCAUCCGGGCAGCGGCGGCACUGGGCUUGGAAGGAGCCGAACGCACACCUCAACGCUCUGUCCAGAUGGAGUUAACAGGAGCCUUGGAGAGGGGGGUGGAGAGAACAGAGAUGUGUUCAUCUGUGAAAUUAAAAGUGGUGCAGCAUGACACACGGCAUUACGUGGUGGGGCUCGGUGAAAGCCAUAAUUAGGCUGAAUAUGACUCUGAACACGCUCAUAAUCAAACAAAAGCAAUUCUACUGAAUGAGGAGAGCGGAGUCUCUUGGGAGGAGAGAAGAGGCAAAGGGCUGAGAAAGACUAGGAACCCGGCUCAGUACACGGAGGGCGGGCGGAGACCCACCCCGAGGAAGGCCCCGGGGCCCUGUAUUCCUUUGGUACCAUUCUAAAAACUACCAUCUGCUCAGAACAACUCAUCCGUUACCAUCUCACAGGGGCCACGGGUCCCAAGUCCAGGCACGUGGCUUGGGUGUGCUCUCUGCUUGGGGUCUCGCAGGGCCAAAGUGUCACCUGGCUCAGACAUCAGCCUUCUUGGUUCUUACCUGGGGACUUCAGGGAAGAAUCUGCCCCCACGCCUGCUCAGGUUAUUGGCAGAACCAAGGGGGGUCCCUAUGUCCUUCCAGAUGUCGGCCAGACCUUGUUCUCAGCUUCUAGAAACUGUUCAUAUUUCGUGCCACACGUUCCCCCAUCUUCAGAGUCAGCAAGAGAGCGUCAAAUCCUUCUCAAGCCAGUCAUCCCCCUGCCUGCCCUUCUGCCGUCUCUGAUUCCCUCCUCCACCUCCUCUUCCGCUCUGAAGGGUCCCUGUGAUAAUAUCAGCCCGGCUGCAAAAAAUCCAGAACCAUCUCCCAAUUUUACUGACUUCAGUCACAUAUGCAAAGGCCCUUUGUCAUGCAGCUAACCGAAGGUGGGAGUAAAAAAGGGGGGGGGGAAGGUCACGGGGCCAAAGGUCAAAGGUCUAAAAGUGGCUCCACUGACAAAUGGGUGCUGGACCCUAUCCCGGAGCUGGAGUGCACGUUUUCUGCUGCUGGGAAGGACGAUGCAUUGGAGAGGUCAUAAGGGAGCCACACCACGGUGGAAACUUCUAAAGGGAGACAGACAGACUCACGAGUUUCCUGCAGAGUAACAGUGAGGACAGCUGAGCUACCGCUGCCACCCUGUGUGGACAGACCUGUUGCUGGCCAGGUAUGGGGUAGAACCCUGCAUUUCUUUUUUUUUUUUUUCCCUUUUUAUGGCCAUACCUGUGGCAUAUGGAAGUUCCCAGGCUAGGGGUUGAAUCAGAGAUAGAGCUGUUGGCCUACGCCACAGCCACUGCAAUGCCAAAUCUGAGCCGAGUCUGCAACCUACACCGAGCUCACAGCAAAGCAGAUCCUUAACCCACUGAGCGAAGCCAGGGAUGGAACCUGCAUCCUCAUGGAUACUCGUUGGGUUCAUCACCGCCGUGCCACAAUGGGAACUCC
rnacentral:lncRNA from 1 species